rnacentral:ncRNA from 1 species
ACUGUGGAGUGUACACAAACCUGCGAGUAGCGUAUUACUUUGUAAUCGCCAAAGCAUGCACAUUGAAGCAGUAA